rnacentral:rRNA from 1 species
UGCGUAGGCGGCGUGGUAAGUCGGGUGUGAAAUCUCGGAGCUUAACUCCGAAACUGCAUUCGAUACUGCCGUGCUUGAGGACUGGAGAGGAGACUGGAAUUUACGGUGUAGCGGUGAAAUGCGUAGAUAUCGUAAGGAAGACCAGUGGCGAAGGCGGGUCUCUGGACAGUUCCUGACGCUGAGGCACGAAGGCCAGGGAGCAAACG